rnacentral:rRNA from 1 species
GAAAGAUGAAAAGAACUUUGAAAAGAGAGUUAAAUAGUACGUGAAAUUGUUGAAAGGGAAACGAUUGAAGCCAGUCGUACCUAUGGGUAAUCAGCCUUUCGGGUGCGAUUCUGUGGGGUUUGAGGAGCUUUAACACCUUCAUGCUUUGCAUAUUCGUGCUCUUGGGUGUACUUGCCCGUGUGGUUGGUUAACAUCAAUUUCGGGCACCAUAAAAUGGCUGGAGGAAUGUAGCUUCGAUCUUGUAUUGAAGUGUUAUA